rnacentral:lncRNA from 1 species
AUAUGGUAAAAAGUGUUUAAAAUGUGAGAAAGGUAAGAAGUGUUUUAAACCAUUGGAUAUUUGAUCUAAUGGUUGAGAUCAACAGGGUAUAAAAAUGUAAAUUGUGUUUUAAUUAGAAGGACCUUUUGUAAAAUUGAAGGGCAAUAGUGUCUUUUCAAAUGUUUCAAAUAUGGUAACCGUAUCCUACACAACCAAACCCCCCAUCAUUCUCCUAAAAACCAGCAACUUUCCUUCAAAAAUUGAUUAUCCGAUUUCCUUGACUAUUAACCCUUGAUAAAACACUAUAUGAAGAUAUAACACUAUGAACCAGAAAAUCAAGAUGUCUAUACAGAAUAUAACACUAUUGAUUGGGGAUAAAACACUACGAACCAGAAAAUUAAGAUGUCUGUACAGAAUAUAACACUAUUGAUUGGGGAUAAAACACUACGAACCAGAAAAUUAAGAUGUCUGUACAGAAUAUAACACUAUUGAUUGGGGAUAAAACACUAUGAAAGGAAAAUUAAGAUGUCUGUAUAGAAUUUAACACCAUUGAUUGGGGAUAAAAACACUAUACAUCAAAAUAUCAAAAAAAAAAAAAAAAAAAAAAAAAAAAAAAAAAAAACUCUGUUCAUGAUAAAACACUAAAACAACAACUUACCCUAAACAAUUCAAUGUAUAAAACACUACAUAAACACAAAAUCAAAGCAUACUAACACCAGAAUCGCAGAAGGUUAACAACUGAUGCGUAGAUGAAAAUCUUAUUGGAUCUUGCAAAAAAAUACAAAAUUCGAAUCAAUCCCUAAAAAAUCGCAUCGCCAUUUUUUUUGCAGUUAUCUUGUAAAUCAAUUAAUUGAUAAGAAUGGAAAAUUACUAAUAUACCCUUUUGAAUUAAUUAAGAUAAAAGACACUUGUCAUUCCCAAAUUAUUUAACACUUCUCACAAAAGUUGAACUUUGUCCAGGAUCCUCUACCCUAUUUUUGUUUUUUUGUUUUUUUUUUUUUGUAAAUUAUAAUAUAUACAUACCCUAUUUUUUUAACAUACAUGAUUUACAAUUGUAUGAUGAAAUCAUUAAGUAAAAAACGAACAUAAAUUCAAAUAUAAACAUGUUCACAUCGAUGCCGGCUUGAUUAUUAUUCUUUUUAAGUAUAAGUUUGCAAGUCUCCUCGGCCAUUCAAUAUAAAAUACACACAAAAAAAAAAAAAAGCUAGAACAUCAAAGAAGUGUUAGAAGAUGUACUUCCUCAUACUUUCUUCGACCACGGCCUCGGGUUUUGGUGUGUUUAACGAAAGAGUCCGAGGAUACGUGGCAUCUCUAUUGAUCGAUACGGAUUGA